rnacentral:piRNA from 1 species
UAGGAUGGUGUAGUGAACAAGGUCAAGGU